rnacentral:rRNA from 1 species
CCCUACGGGAGGCAGCAGUGAGGAAUAUUGCGCAAUGGGGGCAACCCUGACGCAGCAACGCCGCGUGAGUGAGGAAGGUUUUCGGACCGUAAAGCUCUGUCGAGUGGGAAGAAAUGUAUCAUGGCUAAUAUCCAUGGUAUUUGACGGUACCGCUAAAGGAAGCACCGGCUAACUCCGUGCCAGCAGCCGCGGUAAUACGGGGGGUGCAAGCGUUGUUCGGAAUUAUUGGGCGUAAAGAGCGUGUAGGCGGCUUAAUAAGUCAGAUGUGAAAUCCCUUGGCUUAACUCAGGAAGUGCAUUUGAAACUAUUCAGCUUGAGUAGGGGAGAGGAAAGUGGAAUUCCUGGUGUAGAGGUGAAAUUCGUAGAUAUCAGGAGGAACACCGGUGGCGAAGGCGACUUUCUGGCCCUAUACUGACGCUGAGACGCGAGAGCGUGGGUAGCAAACAGGAUUAGAUACCCUGGUAGUCGA